rnacentral:rRNA from 1 species
AGCGAACGUUUGCGGCGGGCCUAACACAUGCAAGUCGAACGCACUAGCAAUAGUGAGUGGCGCACGGGUGCGUAACACGUGGGUAAUCAACCCUUCAGCUUGGGAUAACGACUUGAAAGGGUCGCUAAUACCGGAUACGGCGCGGGAGGCUUCGGCUUCUCACGAGAAAGCCUCGCAAGGGGCACUGAAGGACGAGCCUGCGGCCCAUCAGCUAGUUGGUGAGGUAAGAGCUCACCAAGGCGAAGACGGGUAGCUGGUCUGAGAGGAUGAUCAGCCACACUGGAACUGAGACACGGUCCAGACUCCUACGGGAGGCAGCAGUGGGGAAUAUUGCGCAAUGGGCGAAAGCCUGACGCAGCCACGCCGCGUGAGCGAUGAAGGCCUCGGUCGGUAA